rnacentral:rRNA from 1 species
AACGAACGCUGGCGGCAGGCUUAACACAUGCAAGUCGAGCGGGGUGAUGGUGCUUGCACUAUCACUUAGCGGCGGACGGGUGAGUAAUGCUUAGGAAUCUGCCUAUUAGUGGGGGACAACAUCUCGAAAGGGAUGCUAAUACCGCAUACGUACUACGGGAGAAAGCAGGGGAUCACUUGUGACCUUGCGCUAAUAGAUGAGCCUAAGUUGGAUUAGCUAGUUGGUGGGGUAAAGGCCUACCAAGGCGACGAUCUGUAGCGGGUCUGAGAGGAUGAUCCGCCACACUGGGACUGAGACACGGCCCAGACUCCGACGGGAGGCAGCAGUGGGGAAUAUUGGACAAUGGGGGGAACCCUGAUCCAGCCAUGCCGCGUGUGUGAAGAAGGCCUUAUGGUUGUAAAGCACUUUAAGCGAGGAGGAGGCUCUUUUGGUUAAUACCCAAGAUGAGUGGACGUUACUCGCAGAAUAAGCACCGGCUAACUCUGUGCCAGCCGCCGCGGUAA